AAAUAGACUUCGGGUACUUAGUGUUCCACGGGUGCGUAACGCGUGGGAUCUACCCCUUGGUUCGGAAUAACAGUUGGAAACUUACUCGCUAAUACCGGAUAGAUGACGUAAGUCCAAAGAUUUAUCGCCGAGGGAUGAGCCCGCGUAGGAUUAGGUAGUUGGUGUGGUAAAGGCGCACCAAGCCGACGAUCCUUAGCUGGUCUGAGAGGAUGAUCAGCCACACUGGGACUGAGACACGGCCCAGACUCCUACGGGAGGCAGCAGUGGGGAAUAUUGGACAAUGGGCGAAAGCCUGAUCCAGCAAUGCCGCGUGAGUGAUGAAGGCCUUAGGGUUGUAAAGCUCUUUUACCCGGGAUGAUAAUGACAGUACCGGGAGAAUAAGCUCCGGCUAACUCCGUGCCAGCAGCCGCGGUAAUACGGAGGGAGCUAGCGUUAUUCGGAAUUACUGGGCGUAAAGCGCACGUAGGCGGCUUUGUAAGUAAGAGGUGAAAGCCCAGAGCUCAACUCUGGAAUUGCCUUUUAGACUGCAUCGCUUGAAUCCUGGAGAGGUCCAGUGGAAUUCCCGAGUUGUAGGAGGUGAAAUUCCGUAGAUUUUCCGGAAAGA
rnacentral:rRNA from 1 species